CAUUUCCAUGUUAUGUGUCUGUGUUAUAUCGGCGGGGAGUCCUUAAGCCCCGUACCCGCCCACGUAAAUGUUGGACUCGGUUCGAAUCCCGCCCUCACCUACAAACCCCGUCCUUAGCAAGCCACGCACCCGCCCACGUAAAUGUUGGACUCGGUUCGAAUCCCGCCCUCACCUACAAGUCCCGUCCUUAACAAAAACCGUAGGGGAGAGCGGUGAUGAUUCGGCCAUCGCACUUAUUGUAAAGUGUAUGGUAGUGCCGCGAGAUUUUGUGUGAAUGUGCAAAACUUUAUUGCCUUAACCCACAAAGGGACAACCACGCCCUCAGAGCUGUUGUUUUCGAUGCAACUCCGAUUUUAUGUUUUUUUGCAUCUCGUAUGUAAUAUUUUCAGUAUAUCGUAAGCUCUCACUUCAAAAACGUGCCAAUUAGCGACAUGUAAAUUAUUUCGGUGACGCAGCGAUGCCCGGCGAAGGUGUUGCCGUAUAACACGAUCACCUGUGAAGCUCUCGUGCUGGAAAAGAGUGUGACCACACAUUUGCUUUUUAUUGAGUCGUGAUGAUUCGGACGGUUGAUUUUUUCAUGAUUUUUAUUAAAUUUAUAUCAAUUUAAACAUUAUAGGUGUUGCAACGUUUAUAAAAAGGUUAGUUUGGUUGAUUAAUAUUCAGAUAUGCUUGUGAGAAGAGAAGGAAGCCAUAAUACCAAAAUUUUUGAGAUUUCUUGUAGUUCUCCUUUUAUUUUUUUCCCUCUAAAUAUUGAGAGGAUACUUUUGUCCUCUAACAAAUGUUUUGUAGAAGAUAUAAUUUUGUUUAUUAGCCAAUCAAACUUAAGUUAUAUUAAUAUUUUGGCGAGUAUUAUGAGUGUCCGUACCAUCCCACCUCCCUGGCCGAACCAUCACCACGGCUGGGGACGAUUUAGAAACUUAGUCUUUCAUCACCUACAUCUGAAAACUGGAAAUAGCUACGAGUGUCAUGUUAGCGGCCUACAGAGCCAAAUGAUGGAGGAACAUUUUGAGGUCAACAAAAUUACACUACUUUUUGAACUUCUUUUUCUAAAAAUAUUUUUCUAAAAAGUGUCCGAAUCAUACCGGCUCUCCCCUACCCGCCCACGUUAUCACAAGUGUCCUCGCCUCCACCUCAACGGUACCAGCGUGUCAUAUCAAAGGAAGGGGCUUGUGAGACUUCAGCGACCUCCGGCAGCACUUCGAGGACAACAUUAGGACCUCGGAGCUCAUAAGUAUACAUUGAAAUUUAUACGUAUAUAUAUUAUUGAUGUGGUUGUGGUGACGGGAGUGGUGGUUGUGGUGGCUAUAGGGAUGUGUGGUUGUGGUGACGAGAGUGGUGGUUGUGGUGACGGGUGUGGUGGUUAUGGUGACGGGAGAACGUGGUGGUUGUGGUGACGGGAGUGGUGGUUAUGGUGACGGGAGAACGUGGUGGUUGUGGUGACGGGAGAACGUGGUGGUUGUGGUGACGGGAGAACGUGGUGGUUGUGGUGACGGGAGUACGUGGUGGUUGUGGUGACGGGAGUUCGUGGUGGUUGUGGUGACGGGAGUUCGUGGUGGUUGUGGUGACGGGAGUUCGUGGUGGUUGUGGUGACGGGAGUUCGUGGUGGUUGUGGUGACGAGAGUGGUGGUUGUGGUGACGAGAGUGGUGGUUGUGGUGACGAGAGUGGUGGUUGUGGUGACGGGAGUGGUGGUUGUGGUGACUAAGAAUGUGCGGUAUUGGCAAAAAUACCGGUUUUCUUAAAUAAUACCGGCCCGCCUCUUCCCGGUAUGUCAUGAUACCGAUACAGAGAGAGAGAGAAUUACAUAGUUACAUAGAAAAUCAGACCCCAUGGUCCAGACUAGGUGGUCACUAAGUGAAUCAUAAGUGAUUCUACAUUAAUCAGAUGGCUCCAAAACGUUGUUUUUCUACUCUAGUUAAUAUUACUUAAGUUCAAGGAAGUGACGGUCGAACUUGUUUUUAAAGGAGUCAGUCGUGUUACACUGGACCACUGACGGUCAGAGCUUAUUCCAUUCUCGCACUACAACGUUGGUGAAAAAAAUUUGGUGCAGUCUGAAUUUACUUGUCUACAUUUGAGUUUUAUGCCAUUGUUCCUCGCUUGCAAAGUGUCAUCGAUCAUAAACAGUUUUGUUCUGUCUACAUUCGUGGAACCAUUAAGUAUUUUAAAACAUUCGAUCAGUUUUCCUCGGAGGCGACGUUUCUCAAGAGAACAUGUUAAGGGUGGAAAGCCUUUCUUCGUAGGACGAGAGAGAGAGAGAGAGAGAGAGAGAGAGAGAGAGAGAGAGAGAGAGAGGCAAGGUGUAGGUAACAGAUUCUCGUGUCAUAUGGAAUGCCUCCUAUAUCUCCUGUGUGUUGCCUCCCCCCACACCCAGGAGCUGCCGUGAUGAAGGCCUGACUCGUGGGGGAGCGCCUGUGUCCUGCCUUCCCCCACACCCAAGAGCUGCCGUGAUGAAGGCCUGACUCGUGGGGGAGCGCCUGUGUCCUGCCUUCCCCCACACCCAGGAGCUGCCGUGAUGAAGGCCUGGCUCGUGGGGGAGCGCCUGUGUCCUGCCUCCCCCCACACCCAGGAGCUGCCGUGACGAAGACCUGACUCGUGGGGGAGCGCCUGUGUCCUGCCUCCCCCCACACCCAGGAGUGGAGGCCUGACACACUGGGCGACCGCACUGAUAACAAUCUCAAAACUGGAGACUGGGAUGCCAGGCCAGGAGGGGGAGACAACAAAGCUAGAUAGGUUAAUUUAGGUCAAGAAAUGCUGUAUAAAGGACAUGAGGAGUCACUAUAAUAGCGGCGAUGAUACUGUGCUUGGUUCAGUGUGUUAGUGAGGAUAGAUUAUCUUUGGUAGAGCGGGGCACCACCUCAGUGUAAUAUAUCAAGUUAUUUAUAUUACAGCAACACUUACAAUUUAACUCAUCCCUUUCCCUUCAAGCAAUAGUUCUAACACCUUUAAUUUAAUGACUGAAUGUUUCCUUCCUUCACUUUUCAUUUCCUUGUUUUCUCUUUGACCCAUUUUCUCUGAUUCUUCGUUUUUCUUCAGUUUUCUCUCUCAUCCAUUUUCUCUCCUCCUCCUCCUCUGUCCAUCUUUAUUCCAUCCUUUCAUUUAAUGUCUAAGUUAUCUUUUGCUUGAUGUUCUUUCUGGUGGUCAAAUCUUGCAUCUCAUUUCCUAUUGUCCAUUCUCUCUCCUCCUCCUCCUCAUAAUACAGUUCCUUCUAUUCUCCUUUCUCCUUUAUUCUUUUUUAACUUUUCCUCCCCUUUUCUAUUCCUUUUCCCCAACUUUCCUCCUCUUUCCUCUUCUAUUCUUCCUUCAUCUCCUUCUCCUUUUUCUCCUUUCACUCCUCCUCCUCCUCCUCUUCCUCUGUCUGUUUAUCUUCAUCCCUUCCUUCCUUUUAAUUAAUGUCUAAGUUAUCUUUUUGCUUGAGGUUCCUUCUAGUGUGUUUGUGGUGCCCGGCUCUGGUCACUAGUUUGUUUUGUCACUGUAUAAUUGUCAGUCCCAGCCAGGCGCCUCUUCCAUGUAAAGAUAUCGGCAGCUUCAAGCCUUGCCGAUAUCUCAAUCCGUACGUGAAUGUAAAUUAACCGAAAUCCUUGUUACUAAGCCCUGCAUGGUGCUCUCUCACAUAAUGCUUCUUUAAAUUUUCAGUCUCACUUAACUUCCGGGGUUAGUAAUAUAUUUUGCCAUGAGUUAACUCCCCGUGAUGGCCAGUUUCAUGUAAUAUAUAUAAGUAAUUUGCCUUUUGCAUGGCUAUAAUUCUGCAUCCGUGUCUAAGGCCCAGUUUCACAGUUCCUCAUGAUGGGUUAGUAAGCUCCGAAACCAAUACCAGAGCCUUCGAAAUUUCCUUGUACGGUGUCUGGAGUUUAUAUUCAAGUUCACAAAUUUGACGAGACUAUACAGGAAAGGUCUUAUAUUGUCAUGAUACGAAGGAAAGGGAAGAGAAGGGAGAUGAGAUUGGGAGACGAAUGAGCCGAGAUCCUGUUUAUAUUCAAGUUCACAAAUUUGACAAGACUAUACAGGAAAAGCUGUGUUUAUGAUAUGAAGAAAAGGGAAGAGAAGGGAGAUGAGUAAGCUGAGAUCCUGUUUAUACUCAAGUCCACAAAUUUGACAACACAAUACAGGAAAAGCUCUUUGUAUUUAGUGUGUCAUCGAAGACCGCGCCAUUUUGAACAGUAUGGGAUUCUAUAGCUUGGUUCGGGAGUGUUACAAAGACCAUGAUGGACUGUGGAAGCGGCCCUUAAUGUUCCCUUUUCUAACAUGCUUCUCUGUUUUUGCAGGAUGCCGCGGACGGACCAUGCAGAGGACUCAUCGCGACGACACCAACGGUUUGGUUAAGUGGGUUCUCUUGUGUGUGCGUCUGUGUGUGAAUGGCAGGCCUGUCGUAUGAUUGUGUGUGUGUGUGCGUUGGCGGUAUGCCUUCGCACUAUUAUUUUGUUAGGAUGUAUUUUUUUGUGUGUGAACUUUUUGCACGUAAUCUUUUUUUAUACCCAUAGCUAGCGUUUGUUUGUGUGGCUGUGUUCCGGGAGAUGGGCGCCGGGGGACAUGGGCUGGGGGGGGCGCACGUGACCUCCUCUGUCCGUGACCUCUUCAGCUGGGGAGACCGCGUGUUGCCCCGGCUGGAGAGACACGUUGAUGGAGGCGGCUGCGUGUGUCGUCCCUUGCCUGUAUCCUCUGGCGUCCAGAGGCGCGUAAGUGGAGAGCAUCGGCGCAGCGCGGGAGCAGCACGUCAGGGUGUAGGGUGUUUGUUUAGCUGGUGUAGGGUGUUAGGGUGUUAGGGUGUUAGGUGUAACAACGGUUGGCUCUUUCACAGAACGGGUGUGAUUCCGUUCUGCGUUUGAGUCUUCCACCUUCAGACGGUCUCCCUCCGAGAUGUCUGAAGUUUUUUUGUCGGUUUUCUCCGUAGGAGGAAGCCGGCUCUAGCUACUCUGGCCUCUCUUCCGGGGGUCAGAGCGGUCGGGCUCUGCUUGGCCAGGCGUUGCCUUUCGCGUUGUCUCCGCCGAAGUUUUGCCAGACUCUUCCGUAAGGUUGAGCCUGGCUUUUUUAUUAGGUGGAUCAGGCUGCCUUCUUCCAAGGAGUCUGAUGGGAGUGGAGUCUUUUUUUUGGUGUAUGUCUGUGGGUACUUAGUGGGUAAGGGAGGGUGGGGUAGAAUGGUUGGUGGGCUGGAAGUGGGUUGGGGGAUGAGCCUCCUGGGAUUUGGGUUGUGUCGAGCCUUACCGCCUGGUGUGUUGGGUAAACCUUCACACCAGGGGGGGGGUGCCAAGACCAUAUCCAUCUCCUGGGCAGGGCGAUUCCCCUUUCCCAUGCUAACUGGCCCUCCUCCGUCUGCCUCCCCAAACCCCCGCUAAGUGCUUGUGUGUGUUAUUUUAUUUAGGAUGUCUUUUUUUUGUAUGCCUUUUUCCCGUGUGUUUAUACCCAAUAGCUAGCGUGUGUGUGUGUGGCAGUCCGGAGGCGCGUGCAGCGAGGACAUCACAUCACGUCACUACGGUAUAUCCACGGUAUUUGGUUUAGUGUGUGCUGUGUGUGUUUGUGUGUGUGAUGGCAGGCCUG